rnacentral:misc_RNA from 1 species
UCACUACUUGCGUAGGCAGUCUCUUUAGAGUGCCCGGCAUUAUCCGGUAGCAACUAAAGACAAGGGUUGCGCUCGUUGCGGGACUUAACCCAACACCUCACGGCACGAGCUGACGACAGCCAUGCAGCACCUGUUUAAGCUCUCCUUGCGGAACGCCGACUUUCAUCGGCCUUAGCUUAUAUGUCAAGCCCAGGUAAGGUUCUUCGCGUUGCAUCGAAUUGAACCACAUGCUCCACUGCUUGUGCGGGCCCCCGUCAAUUCCUUUGAGUUUCAACCUUGCGAUCGUACUCCCCAGGUGGAAUACUUAAUGCGUUAGCUGCGACACUGAGUUUAACCCCAACGUCUAGUAUUCAUCGUUUAAGGCGUGGACUAC